rnacentral:rRNA from 1 species
GAUUAGAGUUUGAUCCUGGCUCAGAACGAACGCUGGCGGCGUGGAUAAGACAUGCAAGUUGAGGGAUGAACUGACGAUAGCAAUAUCAGACGGGAUUAGCAGCGAACGGGUGAGUAACACGUAGGAAUAUGCCCCAAAGUUCGGAAUAGCCCGGUGAAAGCCGGGGUAAUACCGGAUGUGAUCUUCGGAUUAAAGGCUUCGGUCGCUUCAGGAUAAGCCCGCGUCCUAUCAGCUAGUUGGAGGGGUAACGGCCCACCAAGGCAAUGACGGGUAGCUGGUUUGAGAGGAUGGUCAGCCACACUGGAACUGAGACACGGUCCAGACACCUACGGGUGGCAGCAGUCGAGAAUCAUUCACAAUGGGCGAAAGCCUGAUGGUGCGACGCCGCGUGGGGGAUGAAGGUCCUAGGAUCGUAAACCCCUGUCAUCUGCAAACAAACCUCCUGGUUGAAUAUUCCGCUGAUAGUAGCAGAAGAGGAAGGGACGGCUAACUCCGUGCCAGCAGCCGCGGUAAUACUGAGGUCCCAAGCGUUGUUCGGAUUCACUGGGCGUAAAGGGUGCGUAGGCGGUAUGAUAAGUUUGAUGUGAAAGCUCCAGGCUCAACCUGGAAAUUGCAUUGGAUACUAUCAAACUAGAGGAUCGGAGAGGAGACUGGAAUUCUUGGUGUAGCAGUGAAAUGCGUAGAUAUCAAGAGGAACAUCAGUGGCGAAGGCGAGUCUCUGGACGAUUCCUGACGCUGAGGCACGAAGGCUAGGGGAGCAAACAGGAUUAGAUACCCUGGUAGUCCUAGCAGUAAACGGUGUGCACUUGCUGUAGGCGGAUUCGACCCCGUCUGUGGCGGAGCUAACGCGUUAAGUGCACCGCCUGGGGAGUACGGUCGCAAGAUUAAAACUCAAAGAAAUUGACGGGGGCCUGCACAAGCGGUGGAGUAUGUGGCUUAAUUCGAUGCAACGCGAAGAACCUUACCUGGGCUUGACAUGUAAGUGAAAGAUCUGAAAGGUGAAUGACCCUCUUUGAGGGAGCUUACACAGGUGCUGCAUGGCUGUCGUCAGCUCGUGUCGUGAGAUGUUGGGUUAAGUCCCGCAACGAGCGCAACCCUCAUGUUCUGUUGCCACCCAAACGAGAAGUUUGGAGCACUCCGAACAGACUGCCCCAUUUUAAUGGGGAGGAAGGUGGGGAUGACGUCAAGUCAGUAUGGCCCUUAUGUCCAGGGCUGCACACGUACUACAAUGCCCGGCACAAUGGGAAGCAAGACCGCAAGGUGGAGCCAAUCCCCAAAACCGGGCUCAGUUCAGAUUGUCGGCUGCAACUCGCCGGCAUGAAGGAGGAAUCGCUAGUAAUGGCGCAUCAGCUACGGCGCCGUGAAUACGUUCCCAGGCCUUGUACACACCGCCCGUCACAUCAUGAAAGCCGACGGUACCCGAAGUCUGCGCGCUAACCCGCAAGGGAAGCAGUGGCCGAAGGUAUGAAGUCGUAACAAGGUACC